rnacentral:rRNA from 1 species
AUACGGAUGGUGCGAGCGUUGUUCGGAAUUACUGGGCGUAAAGGGCGCGUAGGCGGCGAUGUAAGUCAAAUGUGAAAGUCCUCGGCUUAACCGGGGAAGUGCAUCUGUAACUGCAUUGCUUGAGUAUGGGAGAGGAAAGUGGAAUUCCCGGUGUAGAGGUGAAAUUCGUAGAGAUCGGGAGGAAUACCGGUGGCGAAGGCGACUUUCUGGACCAAUACUGACGCUGAGGCGCGAAAGCGUGGGGAGCAAACAGGAUUAGAUACCCCAGUAGUCC